AUUGAACGCUGGCGGCAGGCCUAACACAUGCAAGUCGAGCGGCAGCGGAAAGUAGCUUGCUACUUUGCCGGCGAGCGGCGGACGGGUGAGUAAUGUCUGGGAAACUGCCUGAUGGAGGGGGAUAACUACUGGAAACGGUAGCUAAUACCGCAUAAUGUCGCAAGACCAAAGAGGGGGACCUUCGGGCCUCUUGCCAUCAGAUGUGCCCAGAUGGGAUUAGCUAGUAGGUGGGGUAACGGCUCACCUAGGCGACGAUCCCUAGCUGGUCUGAGGGGAUGACCGGCCACACUGGAACUGAGACACGGUCCAGACUCCUACGGGAGGCAGCAGUGGGGAAUAUUGCACAAUGGGCGCAAGCCUGAUGCAGCCAUGCCGCGUGUAUGAAGAAGGCCUUCGGGUUGUAAAGUACUUUCAGCGGGGAGGAAGGUGUUGAGGUUAAUAACCUCAGCAAUUGACGUUACCCGCAGAAGAAGCACCGGCUAACUCCGUGCCAGCCGCCGCAGUAA
rnacentral:rRNA from 1 species